rnacentral:tRNA from 1 species
ACCUGUGGGGCUCAGUCGGUAAAGCCUCUGACUUCGGCUCAGAUCAUGAUCUCAUGGGUUGUGGGAUAGAGCCCCACUUCGGGCU